CAGAAACAUCGAUCAGUCGCCUCCUGCAUACCCCCUAUUGGGGAUGUGCCCGCAACUAAGCUUUUCCAGCCUUCUCUUCUGCCUUUGAAAGGGGUGCGUCCAUCUCAGAUGGAAGGAAGAGAGGCCUUGGGGGUACAAAGUUGAAGAACUGCCUUUUAGUUCUGGAGGCCAGAGGUCUGAAAUCCAGGGCCAUGCUCCCUCUGAAGGCUCUUGGAGAGAAUCCUUCCUCCCUCUUCCAGCUCCUGUUGGCUCCUGGGGCUCCAGUCGCUGCCUCUGUGUUCACGUGGUGUUUUCCUCUGUCUCUCCAUGUGUCUUCUCUUCUUACGACGACACCAGUUCCUGGAUUUAGAGUUUACCUGAGAUCCAGGAUGAUUUCACCUCAAGAUCCUCAACUCGUUUCAUCUGCAAAGACCCUGUUUGCAAGUAAGG